rnacentral:misc_RNA from 1 species
GUUGCACCAACCAUAUGACCUACGACAAAGAUCUGUUCAAAGAAUUGACGGAGACUGAGGUCAAAAGGGUCAAAAUUGGAAAUGGUGAAUACAUCUCUGUGAAGGGAAAAGGCACUGUAGUUUUAACAAGUUACUCAGGUACAAAAACUCUUACUGAUGUUCUCUAUGUACCUGAAAUUAAUCAAAAUUUGCUAAGUGUUGGACAGCUGCUUGAGAAAGGAUUCAAAGUUAUUUUUGAAGAAAAAUGUUGCAUGAUCAAGGAUCCGACAGGCCAGGAGAUGUUCAAAAUCAAAAUGAGGAGCAAGAGUUUUUCAUUUGAUCCAAUGGAGGAGGAGCAGGCUGCCUUCCCAGUUACAGCAAGCUUAACUGAUCUCUGGCACAAGAGAUUGGGUCAUUUCCAUCAUUCUGGAAUGAUUUACAUGCAGCAAAAUCAACUAGUUCAUGGAGUGCCAACCUUGACAGCAGAUUUAAAUGAUUGUGAGGCAUGUCAAUUUGGGAAGCAGACAAGAAAAUCAUUUCCUAAAAGUGCUUGGAGGGCCACACAAAAACUCCAGUUAGUUCACACUGAUCUUGCUGGACCACAAAGAACUCCAUCACUAAAGGGAAGUCUUUAUUAUGUCAUUUUUAUUGAUGAUCUAACCAGAAUGUGUUGGAUUUAUUUU